UGUUGAAAUACCUAUCACGCUACAACUACCUUAAAACCAACAGGUCGAAAGUAUGUAUUAUUGACAGCGCAAAAAAUUCAAAGAGCCGAUUAUUGACCCUAUUAUUGACAAUAUAAGUAAAUGAUUAUAUGGUUAUUUAGACUAUAAAUAAUCUAAAAUAAUU